UACGAAUGCCCCAAGCGUUAUUCGGAAUUAUUGGGCGUAAAGGGUGCGUAGGCGGUCUUGUUAGUCUUCUGUGAAAUUCUUCGGCUUAACCGGGGGUUCGCAGGGGAAACGGCAGGACUAGAGGAUGCGAGAGGUGUGCGGAACUCAUGGUGUAGGGGUGAAAUCCGUUGAUAUCAUGGGGAACACCGAAAGCGAAGGCAGCACACUGGCGCACUCCUGACACUGAAACACGAAAGCGUGGGUAGCGAAUGGG
rnacentral:rRNA from 1 species